rnacentral:rRNA from 1 species
UACGAAGGGGGCUAGCGUUGCUCGGAAUUACUGGGCGUAAAGGGAGCGUAGGCGGACAGUUUAGUCAGAGGUGAAAGCCCAGGGCUCAACCCUGGAAUUGCCUUUGAUACUGGUUGUCUUGAGUAUGGGAGAGGUGUGUGGAACUCCGAGUGUAGAGGUGAAAUUCGUAGAUAUUCGGAAGAACACCAGUGGCGAAAGCGGCUUCCUGGUCCAGCACCGACGUUCAGGCACGAAAGCGUGGGGAGCAAACAGG